rnacentral:lncRNA from 1 species
UGAAAAGUUUCUUAAUCUUGAGCUGUCUUCCCAAGGGAGGGAAAGAUGAUCUUGUCUUAAUCCUUGGAUUAUGAGAAUAUACUUUAUGCAGUUCGCUUGUAAGCAUGAAACUCAUAAUGCUAUGCAAGAUAUACUCUUUAUACCCUGAGGAAUCUUUUCCUACUCUGUAUUUUUGCUGCUCUGUAUCAAAAACGCCUUUUUCCUUUCGAGCUUUCCCCCUCCUUCAAAUAAUUCCAAAUACUUUUUUGUGUUGUUAUUCUAUAGAGCUGUAUGUGCUCUUUAAGAAAAAAAAUCCAGAUUAAGAGCAGUUUAAUUGUAACUCUCUGGCAUCAAAAGUAAGUUGAAGAUGGUUCAAAACUCUCGUGGAACUUCAGGAAAUGACUUUUCCUUAGACUUUUUCUCUCUUUGAGUAAUUUGAAUAAUUCAGGAACUGAUAAACCAGGAUAACCAUCACUAAGAGUGAUGUAAAAUAAAGCCUUUCCAGGAUAGUGACAGAAAGUGCAAGGAAUUUAAAAUGAAUUGUGAAAUCAAGAUUGUUGUUCUCCCAGUAUGGCUGAUUAAGUUUUUCAUGACAUUAAAUGUUUUCAGCUCGGCUACGUGAGGAGAAAGCCAACUACUGUUUUGUUAGGUGGCUCAGACGUCUGGAGGCUUUCGUACAAGACUGGGAACUCAGCGCAUGGGGAAUGAAUGAAGUUCACAAAAGAAGAGGUGACUUUCCCUCCUAUCCUGGAUCUCUCCUGCAAUUAGCAAUGCCCAGUAUGCACUUGCUUUUGAACUAAUUAAAUCAUCCGUACUCUAAUGAUUCUUCUCCUCCUGCCAAGUCUGAGACGAGAUCCCAGAGUGGGGCUGUCUUGCUGCAGUGAGGUGAGAUGAAUUACAGGUUCAGCUGCAAGGCAAAGCAGCCUGGCCUCUUGGGUGCUAGCCCAGUGCUCCAAGGAUAUGGGUCCACUUUUUGUACUUCAGUGGUGUUUUCUGCGUGGCGGUGGAAAACACCAAGUCUCACAAAAUCAGCUCUCCAAAUGCUCUUGACAGUGGAGGCUGUGCAGGCUAUCCCAAUGGCCAGAAGCACCUCUGGAAAAGGAAGAAAGUGUUGCAAAGCAUUGCAGGGUGCUGUGUGUCUGCUGAAGUACAGCAGUGCUCUGUUGGCAACUCUGUGUUCCUACCACCAGGUCCCCACAGCUGGAGCUGCUUGAGGCACCCUGGCUCACUCCAGCAUGCUCUCCUUCAAAUGCUAAGGAAAAAAAAAACCUACACCUUCCCCAAGGAAUUCGCAAUUGAAAUGAGGCUAAUGUGAUCAUCCUAAGGUACCUGAAAAACAGUGUUAAAAGUCUGCAAUUGAUGCUCCAAUGUUUGGGAAAUGGUGAAUCACUCCAGCUGAAAUUAGUGAAGACUUGGGACGUGGAGGGCAGAAGACUGAAGAAUGAUUAAAUCCAGGAAUCUGCUAAUGCAAAUAACCUACUUCGGUAAUAAAUUUUACAAACUGUCAUAAGUGUUAUUUGAAACUCAAGCUGUAAUGCAUUAAAGCAAAUGUUCCCAGGGUUUUCAGCAUAAUAAUCUGGGUCCUUUCCAUUUUUUAUUUAUAGAAGUUGAGACGUCUCAGUUAUAUUAACAUUAUGCUUUCCUGGGUCAUAACCACAAAUGAUAACUUCCGAAUAUUCCCAAAUGCUGAAUUAACAAAAGCCUUAAUUUGAAGUUAUUCCCAUUGGUAAAGUUAAGUGCUACAUGAUGUAUUUCCAAGUUUUCAUCUGAAGACUUGCUUUUUCUUUUUGUAAUACUUAAGAUCAGCAAUUCAACAUUUUUUUUUUUAACAAAGACUCAAACUUUAACAUACCUGUCCAGAAUCAUGCCUUAUCCAAAACAUC